UCCGUAGGGUGCGAUCGUUGUCCGGAAUUACUGGGCGUAAAGAGCUCGUAGGUGGUUUGUCGCGUUGUUCGUGAAAACUCACAGCCUAACUGUGGGCGUGCGGGCGAUACGGGCAGACUGGAGUACUGCAGGGGAGACUGGAAUUCCUGGUGUAGCGGUGGAAUGCGCAGAUAUCAGGAGGAACACCGGUGGCGAAGGCGGGUCUCUGGGCAGUAACUGACGCUGAGGAGCGAAAGCGUGGGGAGAGAACAGG
rnacentral:rRNA from 1 species